CAAUGAUGUGAUCGCGUGGGAGUUUCACCAUGUUGGCCAGGCUGGUCUUGAACUCUUUUUUUCCUUUUUCUUUUUUUUUUUAAAGAUGGGGUUUCACCCUGAUGGCCAGGCUGGUCUUGAACUCCUGACCUCAGGUGACCCACCCACCUCGGCCUCCCAAAGUGCUAGGAUUACAGGCGUGAGCUACCGCGCCUGGCCGGUCUUGAACUGUUGACCUUGUGGUGAACCUGCCUCAGCCUUUCAUGCUGGGAUUACAGGCCUGAGCUGCCGUGCCUGGCCCUGAACUCUUAUCUUUUAGGGUCCCAGAGGGCGCUGUACAAGACCCCCAAAUAUUUGUGGGUUGUGAAGGCAGACUCCUGUUAGAGAGAGCAGCGCGGUGGGACCACAGGAUCGUCCAUAUCUUCCCUGGGGAGGCUCUAGUCACCCUGAGCAGGACUCUGCUGCAGAAGCGAUCCCUGACCUCAGGUGAUCCACCCGCCUCGGCCUCACAAAGUACUGGGAUUACAGGCGUGAGCCACCUCGCCGGGGCUACGAUGAGUUCCUUUGCAUAUGGGGGAACCGAGUCUCUCAGAGGGGAUUCUACCUUCCCCAAGGUCAUAGGCCCAAGGCCAGCAGCAAUAUCGUCAGGUCUGCAGCCAAAGUGGGUCACGCCUGUGUGUUAGGAGGGGGGUGAGUGCUUGGGGCCAGGAGUUCCAGGCCAGCCUGGGCAAUGUGGUGAGACCCCAUCUCUAUGAGAAAGUUUUUAAAAAUUAGCUGGACAUGGUGGCAGGCGACUGCAGUCCCAGUUACUCUACGCAGGAGGUUGAGGCAGGAGGAUCACUUGAACCCUGGAGGCGGAGGCUGAAGUGAGCUGUCAUGGCGCCACUGCACUCCAGCCAGGGCGACAGAGUGAGACCCUGCCUCAAACAAAACCUAAACGACACAGGAGGCCCGGAUGACCUGAGGCGCUGCUGUUUAGUCACUGGUGGGCGGGGAGAGAGCUGGUGGCAGAGUCCCAGCUGGGGGUGGGUCCUCACCUGUGCUGCCCUGUGGGGGGCGGGGGGGCCUCUCUGCAGGCCUCUCUCUUUCCCAGGGGAAGCCCGGCAGAAACCCGAGACUGGGCCUCCAGCUCCAGGUCGCCACUGGGCCCAGCCUUGCCCGCCCGCCAGGGACUGCCGAACAGCCCCACCGUGUCCCCACCCCGGAUGGAGCUGUCCCCUGCCUGCCCCACCUCCAGGCUCUGCACGCAGGAAACCCCCGUGGCUCCAGGGAGGCCGGCCUGACAGCCCUUGCCUCCACCCUGAACUGUGGACAUCGGGGCUGCAUGGUUCUCCAGGGUGGGGCCGCCCGGGACACCGCAGGGUGCUGGGUGAAAUCUGUGUCUGGGAGUUCCCAAGCCUCCCCUGGGUGAGGGGACAGAAUUGUUCCUGCUGAGAUCCCGUGAACUAGAUGACCGUCUGGGACGGGACAGAAAUGACUUAGGCCUGUGCUGGCCAGGCAGUCCCUGGCAGACAAGAUUCUCAAGCUUUGCAUCCCCCCAGAAAGAAACCUAAAUUCUUCAUGUUGAUUCCAAGGUGAGAUGGUAAGAUUUGGCUCUGUGGGGUUAAAUAUACUAUCAAAUCAUCUGUU